UGCCCGUUUUCUCAGUCCAUUGCCCAGGACAUAUCUUCUGCGCAAUGUUCCUGUUAAUUUGAGAGCGUCACUUAGAUUUCCCAUGAUGGAAACAAUGGAAUGCAGGGUUAGGGUUAGUUUGAGUGGGUCGGAGGUGAGAUUGAAUGAAUGCGGACGGCUUGCUAUUUUCAAACUUCCUGAAAGUUCUUCUUCUGUAAAUUUUGCCGCAAGAAAGUUUAGGUGCAUACCGCCACCUACUGUUCUGGCAUCGCAAAGCCUAUCGGAGGUAAUUGCGGAAGUUCAUCUUUUGGGUCCGCCAAUCGGAGGUAAUUCUGAGUGAGUAUUGCGGAAGUUCAUCGCGGAAGUUCAUCUUUUGGGUCCGCCAUCUUGGGCUGCAGUUGGGUACUCUUGGGCUGUGUCCGAAAUGGCAUACUGCCUACUAUCUACUUACCUACUCAAGCAGUAGCUACUGCCUACUGACUACUCAAAGAUGAUUUGAGUAUGCCGCGGCCGCCCGAGCGUUUACAUACAGACGCAUACUAAAUACCCCAGAAUGCAUUUCGUGCCGGCCGGACGCAGCGCCGGGAAAAUUUAAAUAGUCCUACCACAAGCUACACAGAACGACUGCAUUCCGGACAAAUUAUAUAAAUUCAUUCAGUAGUAAUAUUUUUUCUAGCGAGAAAGUAAGUGUUUACAUCACGAGUAUGAGCCCAGUUGUUUGAAAUAGUGGCUGUUUGUAAAUUUGUCUCGGCGUUUUCGGAGACCGAAGCGUCCGCUUGGUCGGUGUUUGCGUCUAUUUACCGUAAACACCGGGCAGCAGCAGUCUAUAUAUAUUAUAUACAGUCUAUGGGUUUACUGCAUUAGGAUAGCAACUCAUCACCAGAGGUUAAUCUUCGGUUUUCAGCCUAAUUUACAGAACACCAGGAAACUUUCAUGCAGGGAGACUGCAUGAGAGGGAGGAAAGAGCCAGAGAUGAAGAAAAAGUGUAGUGUAAUGUAAAGAGACGAUAAGAAAUCGGAAAAGAAAUAUAUAAAGAUAUAUUAAAAGAGGAAAACAGAGAAAAAGCCCAGAGCUCUUCCACAGCAGGCAGAAGCCUUGUACAUCGCAGGGACAUUUCAUUUGUUGUCUAUUUGAGUGGAAAAUGUCGGGUUGUGAUGCAAUGAAAUGGCCUGUCUCGAGAAAGCAAGCCAAUAUGAGGAAACGCAUACAGACCGACCAGCCUUCCCUGCCGCAAGCAUCAAUCUCUAGCAUCAGAUUAAUCAUAUCUGAAAUUAAUCCUGUCCAAAUGGGCGACAAACAAGCGACACCGCCGUGUGUAAAUGAUGCAGCAGCUGUCUCAGAGGUGGCUGGAAACCCAGCCAUGUGGUUUUGUCUCAAACAGCUGUCGAUAAAACAGAGAUAGAGACAUCUGCACUGGUUUUUGUGUCAGGGAGUCAGGUUUAGAUGCAGCGCAGGACCAAAGGAGAAUAUCUCAGUUUAAGGCUUCAUAUAAAUGUCAAAUAAGGCAACAAUAACGCUGUGAAUAUGUUGAAAUAGGUCAAGCGGAGUGCAGUUGAUCUGAGGUCUUUUCGCAGCAGGGUGAGCUGCAUCCGUGAGGCGACUGUGUGUCUGCUUCUGAAAAACACACCAACCAGAUAAAACAUCCUAUCUGGAUACACAGCACCCCCUGGAGGACAAUCCAAAAUAGGGAGUCCCUCUGUGUGUGUGUGUGUGUGUGUGUGUGUGUGUGUGUGUGUGUGUGUGUGUGUGAAAAGGAUUGAAAGACAGUGUGUGUGUGUGUGUGUGUGUGUGUGUGUGUGGGCCUAUGUGGUAUAGCCGGACUUUUGACCUGAAUACAGUACAUUACUGCGCUGCUGCGAUCAGUGCUAUGGGUUUGACUCUUUGUGUGUUACGACAGAGAAGAAGUUUGUGCGUUUCUGUUUU